AGAAAGUACCUUAUCGAACUAUCGAAGUGUCCCGUUAGUCGAACGGGGUAGGUUUAUUCAUUGAUUCCUAAAAUAAAGAAACAUGGUAAGGUUAAAAAGUCCCUCACUCUCUCUCUCUCCAAAAGUCCCUCACUUUCUCUCUCUGGGAGAGCCUUGAUAGAUGCAGUAGCGAUCGCAGGCCUGAAGCUCAAUCAUAAGAUUUCGUCACAAUUCUAAUUCCAAAUACCUCGGAUAUUCUGCUAAAUUUUAGGGUUUUGAUGAGUGAGGUGGAGGAGCGAUUGGAGGAAAGAAGGAGAGGUUUAGUGCUUUAAAAUGGAGGAAUUUAAUGCAUCGUGAAUGAGGUAAAGAAAUAUUUUUAUUCUCUAGCUGCGUAAGUUUGUUUGAAUGAAUUGUUCUAAAUUGGGCUAUAUCAAUAUGCUAUUAUUGACAUGGUUAGGCAUCUUAAUUUCUAAUAGUUCCUGAUCAAUUUAUAUGUUUCUCCAUUUUUGUGUAUAUAUCUAUGCAAGUAUUUUGUGAUAUAUCAUGUAUAUGUGCAUAUUUAAUCAGAAUUGCCCUUUAACACCCAUACCCAUAUUGAUGUCUAUGAUAAUACUACCCAAAUAUUUUUUAAUACAUGAUGUUGUUUCUCAAUCUCGACCCUUGUGAAGCAUUUCGUUCAUUAGGAAAAAAGAACCUUUACUUAUUGGUCCAUCAUACAUGAUACAUUUUUAAUCAUGUAAUUACAAAAAUACAGAGGACUACCACAUUUGAAAUAUUAUUGAACACCUUAUUUGAAAUACAUCUUUGCUUAUCGAGGCAUACAUUCACACACUGUUGUUGAACCGUCUACCGGUGAAUAUGUUACAUGCUGGACUUGAAUUUAGAGUUUUUGGGAUGGAAAAACACGUUUACGAUAUUCUCCGAGCGCCCACAUCGGGAAAAUGUUCCUGUAUUGUGCAUAAUGCAACAUGCAAU